rnacentral:lncRNA from 1 species
UUUAACAACUGUAUGCAACUAAUGAAAAAAUUGAAUUUGAAUCUCUUGGCUGUUUUGUCAAGUUUAUCCUUGGUUAGACUGUAUUUCCUAUAUAUAAUAUUUUGAGAUACCUUAAAUCAAAACUUUAUUUCUUCAAUUAUCUUUAAAUGGAUUUUAGUAAAAGACUUCUCUUCCUUAGGAUUUUUUCUCUUGGUUCUUCAGAUCUUGACUAGAGCCAGACAGUUGGAUGUGUGCUUUUUUACUGAGUUUGUUCAUUGCUUCAUUUGUUCCACUAUUUAUUUAACAAAUGUUUAUAAAGUAUAUACCAUGUGUCAGGCACAUUGUUACAAUUCUAUCUGGUAUUUUUUUUUAAUCAUUUCAGGACUGGUGAGGAAUAUUUUAAUAUCUCAAGAUGGUGUUAAAUUGGGAUCAUAUGUUUUCAAAAAAGAAGCACCUGGCUCAUUGUAUUGUUCUACUCUGAGGCAACCUUGGGGGGCCAAGAUCCCCAUCCUUAAGCUUGAGUGGUUAAUGUGUUGCUAACAACUCCACUCUGGGUGGUAAACACCAGACUGAAGCUUCAAGG